UUUUGGAAGGUAAAAGUGUAACAAGGUUU
rnacentral:rRNA from 1 species